CUGAUUCCCAGGAUAGGACUCCUGGGUGGUGAGAUGGAAUGAGAUGUUCUGUACCCUAAAGGUGGGCUGAGCCCUUUUCACCUUUCAAGAGAAGAAUGUUGGCUUUGUUGAGAGCCAGUGGACUGUCACUAGAGAAGUCGGCAUGGCUAGAAACUGGGUGCUUGAAGAGUUCCUCUGGGCCUUCCCAACACAGGGAGAAAGGAAGCCAUCUCCCCCAGGAGGGGUGCAUCCAGGCCUUUUCAGGCUCUCAGGUUCUUCCCAUGCACGAACACCUGGCAGUGGAGGCUGAUGAAGAAAAUCAGGCUGGGGGUGUGCAGGUGCACUGCUGGAGUAACUCGCUGCAGGACGAAAAGCUACUCAGCCGUAGCUCUAUCUGCUUUUACCAAGAGCACAGAAGUUCUAUUAAUAGAAGGGAAAAUGUUACACUACUGGGUGUAAUACCUGAGUCUCCUGCCUUCACUUGGUUCCCUACGGUUAGAAGAGAUGGUGUGAUGAGAGGCCUGGGAGCCACAGAGUCUGAUUCUUUUGCUGUUACUCCUGUGUGGCUGGACUGGGACUAAGGAGGCGAUGGGACUCUAGAGACAGGUAAGUCACAUACUGUGAACCCUGGGUUACUUGGGAAAAUGAUGUUCUCUAGCUGGAGCAGACCUGACGUGAUACAAUAAAGAUGUAUCUCAGUUCUUCUUUCCA
rnacentral:lncRNA from 1 species